UUGAACUCAGGGCCUGGGUGCUAUCUCAGUGCCACCACAGUUCCAUUUCUGGCUUUUUUUUAUUUUUUGAGGGAGGGGGUGAUUAACUGGGGAUAAAUCUUUUGGGUCUUCCUGCCCCCACUGGCUUCAAAGGAUGAUCCUCAGAUCUAGGCCUCUUGAGUAGUUAAGAUUACAGGUGUGACAAUUAACACAUUUUAUGUUUCUUCUGUAAAGCAUCCUC